GCUAAAUAAUCUAACAGCACUGUCACCACACUUAAAUUAUGUGUGCAAUAAAGCCAAAUGGAGCUUCAAGGACCUCAUUUACUUGUAAGAAAUAAGAUUUGAGAUUUUUCUUAUUAGAUCACUUUUAAUACACUGCUCUCAUGGGAGACCAAAUUAGAAGAUAUUCAAUUUACAUUUUCAAGACAGUUACAAUUUCAUAAAAUUGGCAUAACAUGAUAAGAUGUCCUUGCAAUGUCCUUGCUGGGAGAAGCUAAGCUGAGCUUUCUUGGUCUUCAUGAUUUUAGUAUUUCCUUCUGCAAUGUCCUUGCAGAGUUGUCUAGCUGCCCAAAAAAUUUGAGAUGCCCAGGUCCCUGCACGAUAGAAUCAUGAUAAGACAUAUUAGACUCACAAGCAUCACAAAGCAAAAGUGAACUAAUAAAGCAAAAGCAGCAUCCAACAAAAAAAUAGAAAAACAAAAUAAGACUUUUAAAUACUAAACAACAGCUUGGUUAGCCAAACCAUGAUCCACAAACAUGUAUCAAAAGAAACUUAAACAGUUGAUUGAGUAUGUUGCAUUGCUGAGAACAGUUGAAUCAAAGAAUACCUGAGCUUAGCUUAAUAUUUUUCGCAGCCUAUAUUUCUGACACUGUAGUCAAGUGAAUCAGACAUGAAGCUGUCAUUAACUGGAGACAUACAAAGGGACACAACCCUACAGUAAACAAAACAAUACAAACCAAUGCAAAACAACAGAACAUCUAAUAGCCUGUAAACAAAAACAAUACAAACCAAUGCAAAAUUCUUUUACAUAAUUGAUCCCAACACACAAAACAACAGAUCCUGUAUCGCCAACUUCAAUCGGUCAGAAAUCGCAGCAGGGUUUUGGGGAUUUGACAGAUGCUUCGCACGAAAAAGAAGAGAGGCUCGCAAUCUGAAUAAAAUCGCAUAUGGGUGGUUUGAUUUUAAGGGUUUGCUCGAAAUCAAAAUCGAAAUCGAAAUCGAAAUCGCAGCAGGGUUUAGGGUUCGAAAUCGCAGCAGUUUGUAGGAAUCGAAUUCGCAGCAAUUUGUAGAUUUAGGAACUGAAAUCGUAUUAUUCGCAGGGAGGAAAACAGACGCAGGGCAGCCGCAGGGGAAUUAGGAUCUGAAAUCGCAGCAGCUGCGUUUAUUUGAAAUGGGCAGAAUGAUGAAUGGGUUUGAAUCGCUUGGGUUCCAUUACUGUGAUAUUAGAUAUCUGCCUUACGCCACUGCUUCUAGCGUAAGUGAGGGCAAUUUUGUCUGUAAAUUUCCUAUCCAGCGUACGCCAGUGCGUCCAACGUACGCCAGUGACGGCUAUGAUGCUAUUUGCCCAAUUUUUCUCCAUAACAAAUACAUGCUCUGGAUCAUAUCCCAUAUAUAUAUAUAUAAUAUCCAAAUAUAUGUUCUAAUUCUCUUGGGUUUUACUGCAAUAAUCUAUAUUGGCA
rnacentral:lncRNA from 1 species